GUGCUCACCUUGGCAGCAUGUAUACUAAAAUCAGAAUGAUACGGAGAGGAUUAUCAUGGACCUUGCGCAAGGAUGACAUGCAAAUUCAUGAAGUAUUCCAUAUCUUU